GACGAACGCUGGCGGCGUGCUUAACACAUGCAAGUCGAACGGAAAGGCCCUGCUUUUGUGGGGUGCUCGAGUGGCGAACGGGUGAGUAACACGUGAGUAACGUGCCCUUGACUUUGGGAUAACUUCAGGAAACUGGGGCUAAUACCGGAUAGGAGCUCCUGCUGCAUGGUGGGGGUUGGAAAGUUUCGGCGGUUGGGGAUGGACUCGCGGCUUAUCAGCUUGUUGGUGGGGUAGUGGCUUACCAAGGCUUUGACGGGUAGCCGGCCUGAGAGGGUGACCGGCCACAUUGGGACUGGGAUACGGCCCAGACUCCUACGGGAGGCAGCAGUGGGGAAUAUUGCACAAUGGGCGGAAGCCUGAUGCAGCAACGCCGCGUGCGGGAUGACGGCCUUCGGGUUGUAAACCGCUUUCGCCUGUGACGAAGCGUGAGUGACGGUAAUGGGUAAAGAAGCACCGGCUAACUACGUG
rnacentral:rRNA from 1 species